AGCAGAGGAGAGUGGGUUAAAUUUAUCAAUAUGCAGAGUGUGAGUAACACAUUUAACCUUGGUAUUUGCAGAGAAGUGAGUGCUGCUCUCUGCUCUUCCAUGCGUUGACAGUUGGAGUGAGGAGCUGGGGGAAACACAGCGGAAUAUCUGACAGGCUCAGUAUUUUCUGCACGGUAAUCUUAUUUGUGGCUGGUGUUGGGUGAUGUGGAGGCGCUCGUCCCACAGAUCUGAAACAUGGAGCCUGUGGCUUGGGUGCUAAAACCACCAAGUGUGCAAGCGUGUCUACAGGGAGGCUGGUGGCAUUUUCAAUUUGCACCCUGUCAGGCUGUGCUUCAGGUAAUAAGUCCUGCUUCAUGGAAAUCAUUUUUUGCUGUGCACAUCCAUUUAAUAUGACCUCAGGUAAUGUAUCAGCCAUAAUGUCGUCCGUUUUAAUUUAAUUUUCUCUGUUAAAGAAAACAAGCUGAGUUCAUGAGAACGCUGUUGAUUUUUCUAAAGAGAGAUUAAUACAUGUUGAUAAUGUCUGUUUACCCUUUUCCAUUUUCCAUUCAUGAUCCAUCACACUUAUGAGAAUUUCCAUGUGAAUUACACUGGGCCUCAUCCAUUCCCAGCAGCUGUAAUGGUUUACAAGCUGUUAGGGUGCUUGUUCGAUUGUCCAGGGGAUUCAGCUGAGGGCUUGAGUGCUGCAACACAAUAUUGCCUCCAAUCUGAAAUUUUCAUUGGAGGUCUUCUGUGCAACCGAGGCUAUCCAUCUUGUAUGUGUUUUUUUCUAGAAUGUACCUUGUAAUAACGUGGCAAUUAUAUUUUUCGAGGGCCUCAGUCUUGUUUGAAAUGGCUAAGCUGUUUUCCUAGAAGGCCCCUCCAGCUAAUAAGACAAGGUCCCACAUCUUUGUCAGCUUUAAUAAUGUUGCCUCUGUCUGAUUCAGAGUCCGCUGAGAACACGACCACAGUUCAUCGCUGAGGCUUUUUUUAAUGACUGAGCAAUAUUGUUUUUGAACCCAGUUCAGCAGACAAAACACUAGGGAGGAAGACGCUGUGUGAUCUUUUCUCAUUUGAAUAUGGACAAGGCUCAGUGCUUGGUUUUUUUAUCCAGGCAGUUCCAGCCAUCAGAUAAAUCCUGCUGUGUCAAAACAAAGCGGCUGAUGUACUGUUAAGGCUCUGAGGGUGUCAAUGUGCCCGCACCUAUUAGUGGGUGUUUCUGUCAUGUAACGGGAUGAUUUAUAGUGACUUGAAGAUGGUUUUGUUGAAAGCUCUCAGCCGUACAAAACUGAACAGCAGCAAGAGAAGAUGUGAACUGUAGUAACAAUGUCUGAUGUUGAGGCCUGUAGGGAAAGAGCAUUGAACUGCAGAAACUGUGUCAUAAAACUGCAGUACAAUGCACUUCACUGGUCACGUAUCCCCAGAUGAGAAAAUCUGACAAACCUUUACAGAAACAUUUCCUCAUUUCCAGACUCUGUAGACAUGACAGUUUAUCUAACCGAAUUCAACUGUCAAAGAAGUGCUUCUGAGUUGUUGAAAUUCACACCCAGAGGCUUUUAAAGUAGAAAAAAUGUCAUGCGAUUGUAGGGGGGUCUGUUUAAUACAGUGUCUCACAGAUAUGCCAUGUUCCUGUGAUGUCCUCAGUGGAGACGUUCACUGUGAGCGGACACAAACAGCAUUACCAGGUCUGUGUUUGCCGUGCUACAUGUGACUGUGUUCCCCACUAAGCAGCUCAAAGAAACAAUGAGAAAACAACAGGCUGAAAUGAUGGAGUAGGUCUCUCUCUCUCCAGGUCCCUUGUUACUCUCAGCUGAGCCUUUACAUUUCACAGGUUGAGCUCAAACUGUUUUCACUGAAAGGCAGACUCACAUAACAGGAGAAGUUGUGUUUAUUAUUUAGACCCACUGGAGGAAAUGCUACUUGACAUCCAAAGUGGAAGCCUUUCUACCAUCCUUCAUUGCCACUCACACUGGCCUAACUGUGUUAACGUACACUAUGUGCUCCAUAAUGAUUGAUUUCCCAUGCAUUACCACCACCCUUAUGCUCAUUAAACUGUCACGACUGGAUCAAAUGCCAGUCACAGCGAGAACACCAUAUGUCGGCUUCCUUCCUCGCUGCACGUUGGCCAACCUCUGUUCCUCACGCUGACGACUCAGAUUGUGGUCGCCACCCAACCGCUCACAGAUGGAGACCGUCUUCUAGACAUUUCGGCUGAGCUCCUGCAGAGUCCUAGCAUCUUUGCCAACACACAUGCUGUCUCGGUAUAAACACUGACCAGUGUAUUCUCUGCUUUGUGUUGUGUGUUUAUUACACUCUGAAUCCCGGCACUUCCAUCCUCAAUAUUACAUAAGUUGCACUUUGUGAGUUCAGUGCACCAUCUGGGACGCCUUCACAUCCAGACUACACAUUUAUUCCCGCCUGAAUGUGAAAGUGGGGAGCAUGUCGUGGUCAUGGCCAGCACCGAGGAGAAACGAGUUACGUGUAAAAGCGUUAUGUAAUUCAAUUAGAUAAUACAUGGCACUAUAAUGUAAGUGUAGAAAUAUGUUUCUGAUUACAAAGGGGAUUAUUUCAAUAAAUCUAACAAGUGACAAAUGAGAUUGUUUCUUGAAAUUUUUGUUGAAAUCAAUAUUUGAAAAGUUAUUUUUACUUUAACUCUAUCUAACCAGUAUAGAGAAAAUCAUGAACAGUUCCCAGUUCUAUCAACGUUUCUAUCACCAUUAAACAUGAACCUGACAGAAUGUGUGUCCUGUGUGUUUUUAGGAUGUUUUGCAUUUCUUUGUACUGUUUUUUUAUGAUGUCUUUUACAAUAUUUUGCGUUUUUGUCAAUUGUCUUUCU